rnacentral:snRNA from 1 species
AUACUUACCUGGCAGGGGAGAUACCGUGAUCAUGAAGGUGGUUUUCCCAGGGCGAGGCUUAUCCGUUGCACUCUGGAUGUGCUGACCCCUGUGAUUUCCCCAAAUGUGGGAAACUCGACUGCAUAAUUCGUGGUAGUGGGGGACUGCGUUUGUGCUUUUCCAUG